UGAGAAAAUGUAGUUCCAAGGGAAAGGGCUGUCUGACAGCAAGGUAAAGCGCUGAAAAUAUUCAACACUGAAACUGAUUCCUGUGGGGCUCUUUUCAAGUGGCUAAAACACGUUAGCUGCUGACCCUGUCCACAGCAGUACGUUGCUUCUGUGCCGGAACAACUCUCUCCUUCUCCAAACUGGGAUGUGCCAACGCCAUCUACUACAGUAUUCUCGUUGGUAGAGUGGCACGUGACUGCAGACGUGACAUCUGACAUCUUCCCAUCACGACUUAUGGCCAGUACAAUGACAGGAAGUGACACCGGCUGGUUGUGUCAAUGCUUUGAUAUGGAAGAGCUGCCUCUGGGACUGAGCCACUCUGUCCUCUACACAUCUGGAUGAAUGAUCAAAGGGUACAAGGAGAACGACAGAUGUUGGGGAAUGACACACAGAAAUGAAUUGAACUGCAAAGAAAACACUAAAAAGAGUCUCUUUACAUGUUUACAUUCUCUGUAACAUACCCUAGUGGUGUCAGCUGUAGGUCGUCCACUGUGUUGAUGAAGGAGUAGUAAAGUUGUAUUUGGUUUCUCACAGGGCCCCGUUGGUAUCUGAGAGCCCGUGGAACAUUCCUCUGGG